GAUGAACGCUGGCGGCGUGCCUAAUACAUGCAAGUCGAGCGAACGGACGAGAAGCUUGCUUCUCUGAUGUUAGCGGCGGACGGGUGAGUAACACGUGGAUAACCUACCUAUAAGACUGGGAUAACUUCGGGAAACCGGAGCUAAUACCGGAUGAUAUUUUGAACCGCAUGGUUCAAAAGUGAAAGACGGUCUUGCUGUCACUUAUAGAUGGAUCCGCGCUGCAUUAGCUAGUUGGUAAGGUAACGGCUUACCAAGGCAACGAUGCAUAGCCGACCUGAGAGGGUGAUCGGCCACACUGGAACUGAGACACGGUCCAGACUCCUACGGGAGGCAGCAGUAGGGAAUCUUCCGCAAUGGGCGAAAGCCUGACGGAGCAACGCCGUGUGAGUGAUGAAGGUCUUCGGAUCGUAAAACUCUGUUAUUAGGGAAGAACAUAUGUGUAAGUAACUGUGCACAUCUUGACGGUACCUAAUCAGAAAGCCACGGCUAACUACGUG
rnacentral:rRNA from 1 species